rnacentral:rRNA from 1 species
AGAGUUUGAUCCUGGCUCAGGACGAACGCUGGCGGCGUGCUUAACACAUGCAAGUCGAACGGAGAUUUUAUUUCGGUAAAAUCUUAGUGGCGAACGGGUGAGUAACGCGUAGGCAACCUGCCCCACAGCCGGGGACAACUUCCCGAAAGGGAAGCUAAUACCGGAUACGAACCGGGCAUCGCAUGAUGCCGGGUUGAAAGAUGGCCUCUAUUUAUACGCUAUCGCUGUGGGAUGGGCCUGCGUCCGAUUAGCUGGUUGGUGAGGUAACGGCUCACCAAGGCGACGAUCGGUAGCCGGUCUGAGAGGAUGAACGGCCACAUUGGGACUGAGACACGGCCCAGACUCCUACGGGAGGCAGCAGUGGGGAAUCUUCCGCAAUGGACGCAAGUCUGACGGAGCAACGCCGCGUGAGGGAGGAAGUUUUUCGGAACGUAAACCUCUGUUGUUCAUGACGAACGAGCUUUUUAUCAACAACGAAGAGCAGUGACGGUAGUGAACGAGGAAGCCACGGCUAACUACGUGCCAGCAGCCGCGGUAAUACGUAGGUGGCAAGCGUUGUCCGGAAUUAUUGGGCGUAAAGCGCAUGUAGGCGGUUUGGUAAGUCGGUCGUGAAAAUGCGGUGCUUAACGCCGUAUGGCGAUCGAAACUGCGGAACUUGAGUGCAGGAGAGGAAAGGGGAACUCCCAGUGUAGCGGUGAAAUGCGUAGAUAUUGGGAAGAACACCGGUGGCGAAGGCGCCUUUCUGGACUGUGUCUGACGCUCAGAUGCGAAAGCCAGGGUAGCGAACGGGAUUAGAUACCCCGGUAGUGCUGGCCGUAAACGAUGGGUACUAGGUGUGGGAGGUAUCGACUCCUUCCGUGCCGGAGUUAACGCAAUAAGUACCCCGCCUGGGGAGUACGGCCGCAAGGCUAAAACUCAAAGGAAUUGACGGGGGCC